rnacentral:rRNA from 1 species
CCUACGGGUGGCAGCAGUGAGGAAUAUUGGUCAAUGGGCGCGAGUCUGAACCAGCCAAGUAGCGUGAAGGAUGACUGCCCUAUGGGUUGUAAACUUCUUUUAUAUGGGAAUAAAACGUUCCACGUGUGGGAUUUUGUAUGUACCAUAUGAAUAAGGAUCGGCUAACUCCGUGCCAGCAGCCGCGGUAAUACGGAGGAUCCGAGCGUUAUCCGGAUUUAUUGGGUUUAAAGGGAGCGUAGGUGGAUUGUUUAGUCAGUUGUGAAAGUUUGCGGCUCAACCGUAAAAUUGCAGUUGAAACUGGCAGUCUUGAGUACAGUAGAGGUGGGCGGAAUUCGUGGUGUAGCGGUGAAAUGCUUAGAUAUCACGAAGAACUCCGAUUGCGAAGGCAGUUCACUGGACUGCAACUGACACUGAGGCUCGAAAGUGUGGGUAUCAAACAGGAUUAGAUACCCCUGUAGUC